CUCAGCUGACUGUUCUCGUCCAAUAACACUGUCAGCAAGCUUCUCUGUCACAGAGAGCAAUGAGACAUACUCAAGCCAUGGCUACUUGGCAUGCAGUCAUAAAUGGAUACUAUUUCACGGUAGUUACUGAGGUUAGGAUUUUAUUCUUCAAGAUAAUCUUCUCCUGUGUCUUUGUGGACACAGGAGUUGGAUUCAACUCCUCUUUAGUUAUACACUGAAAGGAACCAUAUACAGUAGCUCUGAU
rnacentral:lncRNA from 1 species